rnacentral:rRNA from 1 species
UACGUAGGGGGCAAGCGUUGUCCGGAAUCAUUGGGCGUAAAGCGCGUGUAGGCGGCUUGGUAAGUCUGCUCUGAAAGCCCGGGGCUCAACCCCGGGAGGCGGGUGGAUACUGUCAAGCUCGAGUCCGGAAGAGGAGUGUGGAAUUCCUGGUGUAGCGGCGAAAUGCGCAGAUAUCAGGAGGAACACCAAUGGCGAAGGCAGCACUCUGGGACGUGACUGACGCUGAGACGCGAAAGCGUGGGGAGCA